rnacentral:rRNA from 1 species
UGGGGAAUAUUGGGCAAUGGGGGAAACCCUGACCCAGCAACGCCGCGUGAGGGAAGAAGGCUUUCGAGUUGUAAACCUCUGUCCUAUGGGAAGAAGAAAGUGACUGUACCAUAGGAGGAAGCUCCGGCUAACUACGUGCCAGCAGCCGCGGUAAUACGUAGGGAGCAAGCGUUGUCCGGAAUUACUGGGCGUAAAGGGUGCGUAGGCGGCGCAGUUAGUCAGAAGUGAAAUAUCGGGGCUUAACCCCGGGACUGCUUCUGAUACUGCUGUGCUCGAGUGCAGGAGAGGUACGUGGAAUUCCUAGUGUAGCGGUGAAAUGCGUAGAUAUUAGGAGGAACACCAGUGGCGAAGGCGACUUACUGGACUGUAACUGACGCUGAGGCACGAAAGCGUGGGUAGCAAACAGGAUUAGAUACC